CGACGCCAUUCUGAUAAUAAAGGAAACUUUUCAUACUUCAGGAAAAGUUUCUUUCCAUCUAUAAAAUUGAACAACGAGUCUGUCUCGUUUAAAUAUGGGCUUCAAGCCAUAAAGUCCGAUAACAAAUUGUCCUGGCCGUUGUUUAAUUAUUUUUCUUUUAAGCCCGUCUCAAUUACAGGCAUCAUUUGCCCUCAAAGAUACCGUUCUGCACUUCAGUGCACACCUCCGCUGAAACCCAGAAGAAGACAACAAAACUGGAUAAGCAAAAGCGCCGGCACACUGGCUAUCUGUUUCCGAGUCCUAUUUCUGUUAGAGCGCCUUAACGGAUUUGGAUACACUUCAGAACCGACAUGAAAAUUCACACCAGGCUAUCUAUAUUCUGGUAUUAGCUUUAAAUACUUAUCUAAGUUUCUGUUCAUCUUUAUCUUGCAGAUUAUGUGGCAGUUGUAUCAUCAUAAUACAGAUAAAAAAAGAAACUAUUUAUUCAA